GAUGAACGUUGGCGGCGUGCUUAAGACAUGCAAGUCGAACGAUGAAGGAGGAGCUUGCUCCUCUGGAUUAGUGGCGGACGGGUGAGUAAUACGUGAGCAAUGUGCCCUUGACUCUGGGAUAAGCGCUGGAAACGGCGUCUAAUACCGGAUACGACCAUCGGAGGCAUCUCCUGAUGGUGGUAAGAACUUCGGUCAAGGAUCAGCGCAAGGGCUAUCAGCUAGUUGGUGAGGUAAUGGCUCACCAAGGCGUCGACGGGUAGCCGGCCUGAGAGGGUGACCGGCCACACUGGGACUGAGACACGGCCCAGACUCCUACGGGAGGCAGCAGUGGGGAAUAUUGCACAAUGGGCGAAAGCCUGAUGCAGCAACGCCGCGUGAGGGAUGACGGCCUUCGGGUUGUAAACCUCUUUUAGCAGGGAAGAAGCGAAAGUGACGGUACCUGCAGAAAAAGCGCCGGCUAACUACGUGCCAGCCGCCGCGGUAA
rnacentral:rRNA from 1 species